CAUGUAGGCGGAUUAAUAAGUUUGAAGUGAAAUCCUAUAGCUUAACUAUAGAACUGCUUUGAAAACUGUUAAUCUAGAAUGUGGGAGAGGUAGAUGGAAUUUCUGGUGUAGGGGUAAAAUCCGCAGAGAUCAGAAGGAAUACCGAUUGCGAAGGCGAUCUACUGGAACAUUAUUGACGCUGAGAUGCGAAGGCGUGGGGAGCAAACA
rnacentral:rRNA from 1 species